AUUGAACGCUGGCGGCAGGCUUAACACAUGCAAGUCGAGCGGAGAUGAGGUGCUUGCACCUUAUCUUAGCGGCGGACGGGUGAGUAAUGCUUAGGAAUCUGCCUAUUAGUGGGGGACAACAUUCCGAAAGGAAUGCUAAUACCGCAUACGCCCUACGAGGGAAAGCAGGGGAUCUUCGGACCUUGCGCUAAUAGAUGAGACUAAGUCGGAUUAGCUAGUUGGUGGGGUAACGGCCUACCAAGGCGACGAUCUGUAGCGGGUCUGAGAGGAUGAUCCGCCACACUGGGACUGAGACACGGCCCAGACUCCUACGGGAGGCAGCAGUGGGGAAUAUUGGACAAUGGGCGGAAGCCUGAUCCAGCCAUGCCGCGGGUGUGAAGAAGGCCUUUUGGUUGUAAAGCACUUUAAGCGAGGAGGAGGCUACCUGGAUUAAUACUCUAGGAUAGUGGACGUUACUCGCAGAAUAAGCACCGGCUAACUCUGUGCCAGCAGCCGCCGUAACAC
rnacentral:rRNA from 1 species